UCGCACAGGGCUUGAAAAGUGCUUGAAAACGAGUCCUAGGCUUGAAAAGCCCUCGAACAAAGGUUGGCCUUGAAAAAGUGCUUGAAAAGUGCUUAUUUCAUUUAAAAAAGCCUUGAAAAUGUUUAUUUCUGCUCAAAAUUACAUGUAUCAUCGCUUUAAUUAUAAUCUUAAAUCGUUCUUAAGGGAAAUAUUACGAAAAAUUAUCAUAAAUUCCUUCGCGCAAAAAGUUGAGUACGAAAUAUAUAAGCUUCGUACACUAUUGAGUACGAAACGUUAUGUGUACACGUCACAGAUUAUGUGUACUACGUCAGAGGUUCUCCAUUGUGAUCAAUUUUCGCGAGUGAAAACGCAGCAAUGGGGAAGUGUCAUUUCAAACCAGGGUGGUUAACUGAAUAUUCCUGGGUACAGAAAACAAAUGACAUUCAAAAAGCACAUUGUCGGGUCUGUAUGAAGACCGUUGAUGUCAGGGGAUGGGGAAAAGCGCUUUGAAAAGCCACGAGAAAGGAGAAACCCACAAAGAAAACAUGAAAUUGAGAAGCAAUGUGUUUGUUUGUAAUAACUUUAAACUGAAAAUUAAAUACAAAUUAAUCGGAACUGCUGAUUAUCGGGAACUGGUUGACAAACUGUAUGUGAGACUCAUUGAGUUAAGGAUGGAUAACAUGUAUGUAAUAACUAGAAAUAACAUGUAUGAGUUAUUGUGGAAUAAGUUUAAUUUGUUUGAGCAAAUAAAUGAUAUUAACUGUGUUAAACUUGCUUGAAAAUGCACUUUUUUAAGGAAACUAACGUACGGUUCUCGGCCUUGAAAAUGAAAAUUGGGCCUUGAAAAGUCAUUGAAAAGUGCUUGAAUUUAGGUUUGAGAAUUCUGUUUGAACCAUGUUCAAUGAUGUUCAUGUAUUUACAUUUUAGACUUCCUCAACUUUGCUGACGAUAUUAGUCCAUUCGACGAUGAUGAAACAGUAAAUGAAACAUCAAAAGACAGCAGUGCAGAUCAAGUUCUUAGUGUGCCUGUUCCUGUGAAUAAUAAGGAAAUUAAACCAAUCAGGAAUCCAGCUAUUGGUAAAAGGAAAGAGCAGACCCUGAGGGAACUGCAGAUGGCAUAUUAUGCUGGAGCCAUUGCAGUUCCACAGGAAAAGUUGCUCCUUAUGAAAUCCCAGAGAGAGUUUUUUGAGGAGGGAAAGCUCAUGAUGGCAUUUGCCAAAGACAAACUGUAAAAGAAUGUCAUAAAACAACAUUUUUUAUCAUUUUGAAAAAAAAAAUUCUAAAAAUUAUACAAAUUACAUUUGUAGCCGGGGUUUGUGUUAACAACACAAGGGGUUUUAAGUUCCAAGUUUUUAAUAUAUGUGAAUGAUGGUCAGUGACCAAGACUUAGUGUAGAAAGUGGCAAUUGAAAAUAGCCAACUGCAACAUCUACCUCUUGCAAGGUUUUACAAACAAGUGACUUAACAUUUAGUUAGCUACUAUUUAAAAUUAUAUGGAUGAACAUGAAAUCAUCUCACAAUAAACACAAAAAUGUAAGUAAAGUAAGUAAGUAUGCACAGGGAAAAUAAUCAAAAUUAUUAAACUAUAUAUUUAUGAACACACAUUUUUAAGACUUGUUUUGUCUUUAUCAGAUGUAAAUGAACACACUUUUUAUAGACUUGUUUUAUCUUUAUCAGAUGUAAAUGAACACACAUUUUUAAGACUUGUUUUGUCUUUAUCAGAUGUAAAUGAACACACAUUUUAUAGACUUGUUUUGUCUUUAUCAGAUGUAAAUGAACACACAGUUUAAAGACUUGUUUUGUCUUUAUCAGAUGUAAAUGAACACACAUUUUAUAGACUUGUUUUGUCUUUAUCAGAUGUAAAUGAACACACAUUUUUAAGACUUGUUUUGUCUUUAUCAGAUGUAAAUGAACACACAUUUUUAGCUCAUCUAUUUUUUGAAAAAAAAUUAUGAGCUAUUGUCAUCACCUUGGCGUCGGCGUUGGCGUUGGCGUCGGCGUCCGGUUAAGUUUUGCGUUUAGGUCCACUUUUCUCAGAAAGUAUCAAUGCUAUUGCAUUCAAACUUGGUACACUUACUUACUAUCAUGAGGGGACUGGGCAGGCAAAGUUAGAUAACUCUGGCGUGCAUUUUGACACAAUUAUGUGCCCUUUUUAUACUUAAAAAAUUGAAAAUUUUGGUUAAGUUUUGCGUUUAGUUCCACUUUUCUCAGUAAGUAUCAAUGCUAUUGCAUUCAAACUUGGUACACUUACUUACUAUCAUCAGGGGACUGGGCAGGCAAAGUUAGAUAACUCUGGCAUGCAUUUUGACAGAAUUAUGUGCCCUUUUUAUACUUAGAAAAUUGGCAAUUUUGGUUAAGUUUUGUGUUUAGGUCCAUUUUAUUCCUUAAGCAUCAAAGCUAUUGCUUUCACACUUGCAACACUUACUAACUAUCAUAAGGGGACUGUGCAGGCAAAGUAAUGUAACUCUGACUGGCAUUUUGACAGAAUUAUGUGCCCUUUUUAUACUUAGAAAAUUGAAAAUUUGAUUAAGUUUUGUGUUUAGGUCCACUUUAUUCCUACAGUAUCAAAGCUAUUGCUUUCAUACUUGCAAGAUUUAUGAACUAUCAUAAGGGGACGGUGCAGGCAAAGUUAUGUAGCUCUGACUGGCAUUUGGACGGAAUUAUGGGCCCUUUAUACUUAGAAAAUUUAAAAUUUGGUUAAGAUUUAUGUUUUGGUCCACUUAACCCCUAAAGUAUCAUAGAUAUUGCUUUCAUACUUGGAACACUCACAAACUAUCAUAAGGGUACAGUAAAAGGACAAGUUGCAUAACUCUGGUUGUCAUUGUUAUGGAAUUAUGGCCCUUUUUUGACUUAGUAACUUUUAAUAUAUGGUUAAAUUUUGUGUUUCGAUCCACUCGAAGUAUCAAGGCUAUUGCUUUCAAACUUCAAAUACUUACAUGCUAUCAUGAGGUUACUGUACCUGGCAACUUGAAUUUUACUUUGACCUUUGAAUGACCUUGACUCUCAAGGUCAAAUUAUUAAAUUUUGCUAAAAUUGCCAUAACUUCUUUAUUUAUGAUUAGAUUUGAUUGAUACUUUGAUGAAACUACUCUUACCUGACAUACCACAAUAGACUUCACCCAAACCAUCCCCCGUGCCCC